GAUGAACGCUGGCGGCGUGCCUAAUACAUGCAAGUCGAGCGAACAGACGAGGAGCUUGCUCCUCUGACGUUAGCGGCGGACGGGUGAGUAACACGUGGAUAACCUACCUAUAAGACUGGGAUAACUUCGGGAAACCGGAGCUAAUACCGGAUAAUAUAUUGAACCGCAUGGUUCAAUAGUGAAAGACGGCUUUGCUGUCACUUAUAGAUGGAUCCGCGCCGCAUUAGCUAGUUGGUAAGGUAACGGCUUACCAAGGCAACGAUGCGUAGCCGACCUGAGAGGGUGAUCGGCCACACUGGAACUGAGACACGGUCCAGACUCCUACGGGAGGCAGCAGUAGGGAAUCUUGCGCAAUGGGCGAAAGCCUGACGGAGCAACGCCGCGUGAGUGAUGAAGGUCUUCGGAUCGUAAAGCUCUGUUAUUAGGGAAGAAAAACUGUGUAAGUAACUAUGCACGUCUUGACGGUACCUAAUCAGAAAGCCACGGCUAACUACGUG
rnacentral:rRNA from 1 species